CGAGGACAGCCUGUCAAUCAGAAGUCUGGUUGCUGCUCUUCUUAAAGGGGAAUAUGUUUUAGUGGGCUUAUGAUAUUAACCAUGUUCUUUGCGGCAUGUAAAACUAGUUCUUUUUUAAUGCUUAGAUAAGAAAUUUAUUUGUUGUGGUUUUUGUUCUUCUCAGUUGUUCAACACUGUUAAAACCUCCAUUCUUUUAAAUGUAAUUUUAUUUAAAGAAACAUUUGUACAGACUAGGAAUAUUGGUGAAUACCAGUAUUUAUCUUAUUCUGUUAAAAUGUUUCUUUAAAUAAAAUUACAUUUA
rnacentral:misc_RNA from 1 species